AUGAAGACAAUCAUUCUUAUUUUAUUCAUUUUUAUCUGGCUGCAGCUGGAAUGGGAGAGCCGAAGCGAGGAAGUAAAACAGCAUCUUUCCACCCUGAGUGUCCAGGAGGGAGCUGACACUGUCAUCAACUGUACUUACUCAGACAGUGCCUCAGUCUACUUCCCUUGGUACAAACAAGUGCCUGGGAAGCAUCCUCAGUUCAUCAUUGACAUCCGUUCAAAUGUGGAAAGGAAGCAGAGCCAAAGAGUCACACUUCUAUUGGAUAAGAAAGACAAACAGCUAUCCCUGUACAUCACAGACACUCGGCCUGCAGAUGCAGCCACCUACUUCUGUGCAGCAGAUGCACACUGCUCCCCAGACACCUGCAGCCUGUCUUCAAACCUGCCACCAGGAGUGGAGCCCAACAUGAAAGCCCCUCAAGUGCGAUAUAAUGGAGUUGUAUCCUAUGAGAAGAAAUUAAUAUUUUUAGCUCACCUCCCUAUAGACAACUGUCAGCUAUUUGUCAAGAAGAUAAAAUUAUGCAGUCUGAAUGUCAUCAGAUCUAAUAGAAAUUUCAGCACAAGUCUGCUUCAGUCAAUCUAG